UACGUAGGGGGCUAGCGUUGUCCGGAUUUAUUGGGCGUAAAGAGCGUGUAGGCGGCCAGGUAGGUCUGGUGUGAAAACUCGAGGCUUAACCUCGAGAUGUCAUCGGAAACCAUUUGGCUAGAGUCCGGAAGAGGAAAGUGGAAUUCCUGGUGUAGCGGUGAAAAUGCGCAGAUAUCAGGAAGAACACCAAUGGCGAAAGCAGCUUUCUGGGACGGUACUGACGCUGAGACGCGAAAGCGUGGGGAGCGAACAGG
rnacentral:rRNA from 1 species